UGGAAGUAAAAGUCGUAACAAGGUUUCCGUAGGUGAACCUGCGGAAGGAUCAUUACUGAGUGAGGGCCCUCUGGGUCCAACCUCCCACCCGUGUUUAUUUACCUUGUUGCUUCGGCGGGCCCGCCUUAACUGGCCGCCGGGGGGCUUACGCCCCCGGGCCCGCGCCCGCCGAAGACACCCUCGAACUCUGUCUGAAGAUUGUAGUCUGAGUGAAAAUAUAAAUUAUUUAAAACUUUCAACAACGGAUCUCUUGGUUCCGGCAUCGAUGAAGAACGCAGCGAAAUGCGAUACGUAAUGUGAAUUGCAAAUUCAGUGAAUCAUCGAGUCUUUGAACGCACAUUGCGCCCCCUGGUAUUCCGGGGGGCAUGCCUGUCCGAGCGUCAUUGCUGCCCUCAAGCACGGCUUGUGUGUUGGGCCCCGUCCUCCGAUUCCGGGGGACGGGCCCGAAAGGCAGCGGCGGCACCGCGUCCGGUCCUCGAGCGUAUGGGGCUUUGUCACCCGCUCUGUAGGCCCGGCCGGCGCUUGCCGAUCAACCCAAAUUUUUAUCCAGGUUGACCUCGGAUCAGGUAGGGAUACCCGCUGAACCUAAGCAUAUCA
rnacentral:misc_RNA from 1 species